rnacentral:rRNA from 1 species
UGCUCAGAUUGAACGCUGGCGGCAGGCCUAACACAUGCAAGUCGAGCGGUAACAGAGAGGUGCUUGCACCUUUGCUGACGAGCGGCGGACGGGUGAGUAAUGCUUGGGAACAUGCCUUGAGGUGGGGGACAACAGUUGGAAACGACUGCUAAUACCGCAUAAUGUCUACGGACCAAAGGGGGCUUCGGCUCUCGCCUUUAGAUUGGCCCAAGUGGGAUUAGCUAGUUGGUGAGGUAAUGGCUCACCAAGGCGACGAUCCCUAGCUGGUUUGAGAGGAUGAUCAGCCACACUGGGACUGAGACACGGCCCAGACUCCUACGGGAGGCAGCAGUGGGGAAUAUUGCACAAUGGGCGCAAGCCUGAUGCAGCCAUGCCGCGUGUGUGAAGAAGGCCUUCGGGUUGUAAAGCACUUUCAGUCAGGAGGAAAGGUUAGUAGUUAAUACCUGCUAGCUGUGACGUUACUG